rnacentral:rRNA from 1 species
UACGUAGGGUGCAAGCGUUAAUCGGAAUUACUGGGCGUAAAGCGUGCGCAGGCGGUUAUGCAAGACAGAUGUGAAAUCCCCAGGCUUAACCUGGGAACUGCGUCUGAUACUGGAUGGCUUGAAUUCGGGAGAGGGAUGCAGAAUUCCAGGUGUAGCGGUGAAAUGCGUAGAUAUGCGGAGGAACACCGAUGGCGAAGGCAAUCCCCUGGGCCUGCACUGACGCUCAUGCACGAAAGCGUGGGGAGCAAACAGG